GUCGCCGGCAUACAGCUAGGCAGGGUGGUGGGAGCAGCCCCAGCCACUGGAUACAGAUGCACCCACUGGCAACAAAAUGAGAGAGACCUUCCAUCUUUUGGUCCCAACAGAUGAGUGGCUAGAGCUAUUGCCUACUACAGCUUCUAUCAAAGGUAUCUUUCACAAACCUCCCACUCAGAGCUCAGGAGGGACAGCUUCAAAAGGAGCACCAGAGAAGGAUCUGGAUAACGGCUGAGAUGAUCCAACUCCUGCCUCAGGGUUUCUCUAUACUACACAACUUCUGCCUUUAUAGCUAUACCAGAAUAUCUAUGUUGGUGGAGUCCUCUUCAAGAAGGCAUGAUAUAUUAUGACAGAAUGGCUUGAGAGACAGUUACAUCCACUCCCCAAGUGACAUAAACCAAACCAUCAGAAGUCCCAUUGUGUCAGGAUGGCUGCAUCCCCACCAAGGAUUUUGCUAACAUUGCUAUGUUGACCAAAGACAUGAAAAAGUCACACAGAGCCACAAUAGCUAUGCUUGGCAAACCUUUGAUCUUAGAUGGCCCAGCAUGUGCAAAAUGAUAAACUACCUUACUCACUCUAAGAUUGUAAUGCAUGCUAUUUACUAUAUAUUAGACCUAUAGGGUGGGUAUACCCAGAGGAAAUUCUUGGCAAAUUUAAUGAAUG